rnacentral:rRNA from 1 species
GACGAACGCUGGCGGCGUGCUUAACACAUGCAAGUCGAACGGAAAGGCCCUGCUUUUGUGGGGUGCUCGAGUGGCGAACGGGUGAGUAACACGUGAGUAACCUGCCCUUGACUUUGGGAUAACUUCAGGAAACUGGGGCUAAUACCGGAUAGGAGCUCCUGCUGCAUGGUGGGGGUUGGAAAGUUUCGGCGGUUGGGGAUGGACUCGCGGCUUAUCAGCUUGUUGGUGGGGUAGUGGCUUACCAAGGCUUUGACGGGUAGCCGGCCUGAGAGGGUGACCGGCCACAUUGGGACUGAGAUACGGCCCAGACUCCUACGGGAGGCAACAGUGGGGAAUAUUGCACAAUGGCGGAAGCCUGAUGCAGCAACGCCGCGUGCGGGAUGACGGCCUUCGGGUUGUAAACCGCUUUCGCCUGUGACGAAGCGUGAGUGACGGUAAUGGGUAAAGAAGCACCGGCUAACUACGUG